rnacentral:rRNA from 1 species
ACUCACGCGGGAAUCUUACCGGGUCCGGACACACUGAGGAUUGACAGGUUAUGGGGCGGGUUGAAUUUCAAUCUCUUCGGGGAUUAAUUUUCUCCCACCUCAAAAAUAUGCUAGUCCUUUCAUGAUUAUGUGAUAGGUGGUGCAUGGCCGUUCUUAGUUCGUGGAGUGAUCUGUCUGCUUAAUUGCGUUUCACUAAAGGCGUCAUUAAUUUUUUGUGCCUGUGUUUGACCCCGCACUUCGGUGCGCGCGCGUCUUUCACACACAAUUACUUUGACGUCUGAAAGCAACGAACGUGACCGUAACCUCUUGUUGCCUUCUCUUCUCUUCGGAGAAUGCUGCUUUAUACCUUCACGGGUGUAUCGCAGUAUACGGAGGCUUAAUACUCAGUAACUAGAGGGACCGCUGUUACUUUCUUUAAACCAGAGGAAGGUUGCGGCAAUAACAGGUCUGUGAUGCCCUUAGAUGUUCCGGGCUGCACACGUGAUACAUUGAUUACUUCAGUGAGUAUCUACGUAUUACUGCGCAGCAGUAUACGCGUGUUGUUUAUUGCUUCGGCAAUUUACUUUGCGCUAUACGCCGCCUUAACCUACUUCGAAAGUAUGUGGGUAACCAAUUAGAAGUAGUGAUUUCCCUCUUUAUAAGCACACUUAUAUGGAGCAUCAUCACCCGGCAUGCCUUGUGCAUGUUUUGUGUGUGUUGUUUGUCUACAUGUGCUUUUGUCAAUUCAUAGUGGGGACAGACCAUUGUUAAUUGUUGGUCUCGGUCUUAACUAGGAAUGCCUUGUACGAGUUUUUGGUUCAACAAACCACUCGGAAUACGUCCCUGCCCUUUGUACACACCGCCCGUCGCUCUUACCGAUGGAUUAUAUUAUGAGUUGGCAGGACCGUCCAGGAAGUGCCUGCGAAUAAUGUGAUCUAAA